UUAACCAAAACCAAAAUAGAGGUAUAUUAUUGUUAAUAAUAGAAGUGAAAAAUUUUUCUUUUUCUGGUUAAG
rnacentral:tRNA from 1 species